UACGUAGGGUGCGAGCGUUAAUCGGAAUUACUGGGCGUAAAGGGUGCGCAGGCGGUUUUGUAAGUCAGAUGUGAAAUCCCCGGGCUUAACCUGGGAAUUGCGUUUGAAACUACAAGACUAGAGUGUGGCAGAGGGAGGUGGAAUUCCAUGUGUAGCAGUGAAAUGCGUAGAGAUAUGGAAGAACAUCGAUGGCGAAGGCAGCCUCCUGGGUUAACACUGACGCUCAUGCACGAAAGCGUGGGGAGCAAACAGGG
rnacentral:rRNA from 1 species